ACAUGCAAGUCGAACGACGCCGGACCUUNGGGUCCAAUGGUCGAGUGGCGAACGGGUGAGUAACACGUGAGAAACCUGCCCCGGAGACCGGGACAACCAGGGGAAACCCUGGCUAAUACCGGAUGCCCUCAGAUGGUCGCAUGGCCGACUGAGGAAAUGCUCUGGCGCUCUGGGAGGGUCUCGCGACCUAUCAGCUGGUUGGUGGGGUAACGGCCUACCAAGGCAUUGACGGGUAGCUGGUCUGAGAGGACGAUCAGCCACACUGGGACUGAGACACGGCCCANACUCCUACGGGAGGCANCAGUGGGGAAUAUUGCGCAAUGGGCGAAAGCCUGACGCANCAACGCCGCGUGGGGGAUGACGGCUUUCGGGUUGUAAACCCCUUUCAGUGAUGACGAGAAUGACGGUAAUCACANAANAAAGCCCCGGCCAACUACGUGCCAACAGCCGCGGUAACACCGUAUGGGGCUAAGCGUUAUCCGGAUUUAUUGGGCCGUAAA
rnacentral:rRNA from 2 species